GCUUUUCAUUGUGAUGAAAUCAUCUCCUAUCUACUAUCAGGUUUGGGCCAUGAUUAUAACUCCUUUGUUACUACCAUCACAGCCUGCACAUAUCCUGUCACCUUAGAAGAAGUAUAUGUCUUCUUACUCACCACCGAAU